rnacentral:sRNA from 1 species
UUUUAGCCCCGAUGGAAGCGGCAUCCUUUUUUGGGCGGGGUUCGCCCGAAAAAGAUACAGUGUACAGCGGGAAUAGCU